AGUGCUUCCCUUUUUUGGCCGUUGUGGGCAAGGAGAGAUUCGAACCCCGACACCGUGGUUUGUAGUCACGUGUUCUAAUCUCUGAGUUACAGGUCUCAUCUCGUCAUCUCCAUUGGAUAUCUGUCCCCUGGAGUAUCAUAAAAUAUGGGAACCUUUUCUCUCCCCAGCCUAAGAAGAUGUGAAAGCGUAUCUCGCUCUACAAGAACGCAAAUUAAACAUUUUAGAGGUGCAAAACAAAGUUGGAGAAUGCAACAACCUUGCCCCUGGCGGC
rnacentral:sRNA from 1 species